rnacentral:lncRNA from 1 species
GUGUUCACACUUCGGCUCAUCCACAUCUUUGCUAUUCACAAGCAGCUGGGUCCUAAGAUCAUCAUUGUAGAGCGGAUGAUGAAAGAUGUCUUCUUCUUCCUCUUCUUCCUGAGCGUGUGGCUCGUGGCCUAUGGCGUGACCACUCAGGCCCUGCUGCACCCCCACGAUGGCCGUCUGGAGUGGAUUUUCCGCCGUGUGCUCUACAGGCCUUACCUGCAGAUCUUUGGGCAAAUCCCUCUGGAUGAAAUUGAUGAGGCCCGUGUGAACUGCUCUCUUCACCCGUUGCUGCUGGACAGCUCAGCUUCCUGCCCUAAUCUCUAUGCCAACUGG